AUUGAACGCUGGCGGCAGGCCUAACACAUGCAAGUCGAGCGAGCGGCGGACGGGUGAGUAAUGUAUGGGGACUGCCCGAUAGAGGGGGAUAACUACUGGAAACGGUGGCUAAUACCGCAUACUAUCGGAUAACCCAUAUGGGAUUAGCUAGUCGGUGGGGUAAAGGCUCACCUAGGCGACGAUCUCUAGCUUGUCUGAGAGGAUGUUCAGCCCCACGGGGACUGGGACCUGGCCCAUACUCCUACGGAGGCAGCAGUGGGGAGUAGUGCACAAUGGGCUCAAGCCUGAUGCAGCCAUGCCGCGUGUAUGAAGAAGGCCUUAGGGUUGUAGAGUACUUUCAGCGGGGAGGCGUGACCCGCAGAAGAAGCACCGACUAACUCCGUGCCAGCAGCCGCGGUAAUUC
rnacentral:rRNA from 1 species